rnacentral:lncRNA from 1 species
CAGGAGCAAGAGAGAGAAGGGGGAGGUGCCCCACCAGAGGCCCCCAGAUGGUGUCACAGGGCCCAGCAGGUGGGAGGCCCUCUGCCUACGCCACUCAUUGGUGGUGAGGCUUGUGGGCAGUUUUGCAGGGGCUAGAAUGCAGCACGGGCCCCUUGGACCCUGGCCUGAUUUCCCCCACCCCACCUCGCUGCCCUGCGCUUGCAGCCUAACCUGCAAAUGCAGCAGGGGCAGCUCCUCCUGGGUCAGGCCCUGUCCAUCCCACAGGCCUGGCUGGCUCCCCCUGCUGUCACCUCACACCAUUCUCCUUCUCCGGAGCCCUGUGCUGGUUGCCCUGGGUAGCACAUCAGACAGGGUUCCAAUCCCAGCUCCACCAGUUUCCCAGACUGGCGCUGGUGACUGAGGCCCUUUGGGCCUCUGUUCCUUCAUCUGGAGAAGGGGGGAGCAGCAGGAGGGCCACCCUGGGGAGGCAUGGAGACGGCUGUGUCUGGCUUAG